GACGAACGCUGGCGGCGUGCUGAACACAUGCAAGUCGAACGGAAAGGCCCUGCUUUUGUGGGGUGCUCGAGUGGCGAACGGGUGAGUAACACGUGAGUAACCUGCCCUUGACUUUGGGAUAACUUCAGGAAACUGGGGCUAAUACCGGAUAGGAGCUCCUGCUGCAUGGUGGAGGUUGGAAAGUUUCGGCGGUUGGGGAUGGACUCGCGGCUUAUCAGCUUGUUGGUGGGGUAGUGGCUUACCAAGGCUUUGACGGGUAGCCGGCCUAAGAGGGUGACCGGCCACAUUGGGACUGAGAUACGGCCCAGACUCCUACGGGAGGCAGCAGUGGGGAAUAUUGCACAAUGGGCGGAAGCCUGAUGCAGCAACGCCGCGUGCGGGAUGACGGCCUUCGGGUUGUAAACCGCUUUCGCCUGUGACGAAGCGUGAGUGACGGUAAUGGGUAAAGAAGCACCGGCUAACUACGUG
rnacentral:rRNA from 1 species